GGGGAUAUAGCUCACCUGGUAGAGUGCUUACUUCGAAUGCAUAAGGCCCUGGGUUCAAUCCCCAGCACCACCA
rnacentral:tRNA from 1 species